rnacentral:rRNA from 1 species
AUUGAACGCUGGCGGCAUGCUUUACACAUGCAAGUCGAACGGUAACAGGCCGCAAGGUGCUGACGAGUGGCGAACGGGUGAGUAAUGCAUCGGAACGUGCCCAGUCGUGGGGGAUAACGCAGCGAAAGCUGUGCUAAUACCGCAUACGAUCUAUGGAUGAAAGCGGGGGACCGUACGGCCUCGCGCGAUUGGAGCGGCCGAUGUCAGAUUAGGUAGUUGGUGGGGUAAAGGCCUACCAAGCCGACGAUCUGUAGCGGGUCUGAGAGGACGACCAGCCACACUGGGACUGAGACACGGCCCAGACUCCUACGGGAGGCAGCAGUGGGGAAUUUUGGACAAUGGGCGCAAGCCUGAUCCAGCAAUGCCGCGUGCAGGAAGAAGGCCUUCGGGUUGUAAACUGCUUUUGUACGGAACGAAACGGUCUGGGUUAAUACCCUGGGCUAAUGACGGUACCGUAAGAAUAAGCACCGGCUAACUACGUGCCAGCAGCCGCCGUAAGAC